GAACCGUACAAACGUUAUUCGGAAUCACUGGGCUUAAAGGGUGCGUAGGCGGCUCGGUAAGUUGGGUGUGAAAUCCCUCGGGCUCAACCGAGGGAAUUGCGCUCAAAACUGCCGGGCUCGAGGGAGACAGAGGUGAGCGGAACUUGCGGUGGAGCGGUGAAAUGCGUUGAGAUCGCAAGGAACACCAGUGGCGAAAGCGGCUCGCUGGGUCUCUUCUGACGCUGAGGCACGAAAGCUAGGGGAGCGAACGGGAUUGGAUACCCCGGUAGUCCUAGCUGUAAACGAUGAGCACUGGGUCGGAGGAUCCUCCAUAGUUUUCCGGCCGUAGCGAAAGUGUUAAGUGCUCCGCCUGGGGAGUAUGGUCGCAAAGGCUG
rnacentral:rRNA from 1 species